UACGUAGGGUGCAAGCGUUGUCCGGAAUUAUUGGGCGUAAAGAGCUCGUAGGCGGUUUGUCGCGUCUGCCGUGAAAACUCGGGGCUUAACCCCGGGCCUGCAGUGGGUACGGGCAGACUAGAGUGCGGUAGGGGAGACUGGAAUUCCUGGUGUAGCGGUGGAAUGCGCAGAUAUCAGGAGGAACACCGAUGGCGAAGGCAGAUCUCUGGGCCGUAACUGACGCUGAGGAGCGAAAGCGUGGGGAGCGAACAGG
rnacentral:rRNA from 1 species